UUAUUAUUAUUAUUAUUAUUAUUAUUAUUAUUAUUAUAUUAGUAUAGCAUUCAUUAUCAAUAACUGAAUAAUUUAUUGUAAAUAUGUAAUUUAUUCAGCAGAUUUUUAAAGUCAUGUGUUUUAUUGGUUAUUUUUGAUAACACCAAAUUUGUCUUGUCUUUUUCUAAUCUGAAAAAUUAUUUUGCAAUACAAUGACAUAAUUUUUCUCAUUACACUUAUUGCUGUGACCUAUUGUAUAGAUCACCACUCUUCUCAUUUCCUCUUCUUACUUCCUCAGAUAAGUAAGGGCUGAAUGCGACUAUGCUGCUUUAUGGUGUCAUUCAUUUCCACUUGAAAUGUGGAGCAGUGCAGGUGCCUCCUAUGAACUACAGCUUGUCUGCAGUGGGUUAGUGAUGAGGGGCUUUGCAAUAACUAUAAUAAAGGAUCACCUUCACUUUUGCCCGCUUCUGUUGCCAAAUGUUGGACAUUUCAAAAGUGUCGAUGGCUGCAGCCUUGUUGCAGGACCUCGUGUUAUAUUUUUGCACCAGGAGGAGCAUAUACGCAUUCAUGACCUGACAGAAAGAAAAGAAGCAAAAUAACUUUUGCAAUUAUAUGGAGGCCUGUCUUACACCUGUCAAUUAAAAACAGCAAUAAAAGGAUCACAAAGGUUUAAAAGGUCUUUUCUCCUUAAGGCUGUAUCGUGCAGUGCAAGGGCAGCCAAAUUUAUCUGCAGAGCUGACUGGAGAGGGAGGAUGGACAGGUGGAGAAGGUGCUGUGGGGCUGACUGGAGAGGGAGGAUGGACAGGUGGAGAAGGUGCUGUGGAGCUGCCUGGAGAGGGAGGAUGGACAGGUGGAGAAGGUGCUGUGGAGCUGACUGGAGAGGGAGGAUGGACAGGUGGAGAAGGUGCUGUGGGGCUGACUGGAGAGGGAGGAUGGACAGGUGGAGAAGGUGCUGUGGAGCUGCCUGGAGAGGGAGGAUGGACAGGUGGAGAAGGUGCUGUGGAGCUGACUGGAGAGGGAGGAUGGACAGGUGGAGAAGGUGCUGUGGGGCUGACUGGAGAGGGAGGAUGGACAGGUGGAGAAGGUGCUGUGGGGCUGACUGGAGAGGGAGGAUGGACAGGUGGAGAAGGUGCUGUGGGGCUGACUGGAGAGGGAGGAUGGACAUGAGAGGGAGAUUUGCAGCUGAUCAGAGUUGAGGGAUUCAGUGUAUAGGUUUUAUUUUCCAUUAAGAUUUUCCGGAGCUUGUGAGGGACUUUGGGGACAUCUUCACAGUGGGGUCUCAAAUGAUCUGUAUUAAUUUUGGGCAUUUUGACACCCCUCUCAUCUUGAAGAUCUGCACUUUUUCCCUCCAGUGCCACAAUAGUGUAAGGACCCAGGUAGUUAGCCUCCAGUUUUCCCCCUUUCCGCUGUUGGCUUCUCACGUUUUGCCUCCAUACUUUGUCCCCCACUACAAAGGGUUUGCUGGAUGGACACAACCUUUUUCUCAUUUUCUUUUGAGAGGCUUUAAUGUUUGCCUCAGCCUCACGCAAACCUUCACUAAUCCUCAACGCACACUCUGUGACUUGCUCCACAGUUACUGUGUCUUCCAUGCUUUCGUGAAUCUAAAAAAAAUUAUAUUUUUUUUAGUUUUUAUAAUAAUAUAUAUUUAUUUAAAGGGUUAGUUCGCCCUGAAUAGAAAAUUUGAUCAGAUAUUAAUAGCAUAAUUUACUUAAAUUGGGAUUAAACCACUGGAGUAACAUGGGUUGUUUUUUAUUGUGUUUAUGGACAAUUUAAAGAAUGUUUCAUGUAAACAGACUUUCAAUUUCAAAUUCUCUCAGCUUUAGUAAAAAUAUAUUUAUUCUGUUUAAACUUAAAUGAGAAUGAGUAAAUAAUGACAGAAUUUCAUUGUGAGUGGAGGUAAACUAACCCUUUAAGUAGUUAACAUUGAAUUUGUUUUGAAUUUUCAGUUACCCUGUAUUGCUCCGGAACCUCACAAGCAUAACGGGCCUCUCUCCCAAACAUUAAAAAAAAAGGUGAGAACUUUGUUGUCAUUUGCUUUUUCGUCCUAAGUCCAAACAUCACCGCAUCAAGAUGCUUAUCCCAGUCUUUUGUGCGUUCCUUCACAAGCUUGCAAAG
ensembl:lncRNA